UCAGCUGUCCUGCACAAGUCGGGCUCAGCAGUGGCAUCGGCCGAGAGGCAAGCGGAUCAUAAGCGGCCAGCCCAUCACGGCUGUCAUUGUUGCCAAAGCAAAGGCUAAACGUAAAAAGAAGCCGGUCAUCUGCUCCUACAACCCAAACAGCUUCCAGUGUUAAACAAGCCAGCAUCAUCCCUGCCCGUAUCCUGUUCCUGUGCCGACAAGAUCCCCAGGCCCCUCUCCCCAAACAUCUCUCUACCAACACCUACAGUCAAUCAGAGUUUCAGUCUUGAAGAAGCAAGGAAAAUUCAAGUGGCGACAAAGGCACAGGAUGCCUGUGAGAAAUGGCACAAAGAUCGUGAGGGAAGGCUAACAGCCUCUAAAUUUGGAGAAAUACUGAAAAGAA